rnacentral:lncRNA from 1 species
UAAAAGGUAUUUGUCAGCAGUAAGGCAUACUUUUUGGCAAAGGAGUUCCUUAGUGAAGGAACAAGUGCCUCUAAAGUCGAGCUUGAUGAAGUUUGACAGGUAAAAGAACCGACACCAGUGAUUGAAUCAAAACUAGAAUUGAUUGGAUCAAAUCUAAAGCCCAAUAUAUAAUCAACUUUAAGGCGAUCCAGUAGAGUAUCACAUCAGUCGAAUAGAUACUUAGAUUUCUUGGUCUGGGA